rnacentral:lncRNA from 1 species
GGACACUUGCCUUCACCAAACAGAUGCUCAGGGUCUUCAGCCUCGUAGAACUAGAAGAGUUUGAUCUCUUGGUCGCCGAAGCUUGACCAUCGAUUCCUCGAAGCCCGGAAACGAAUCGCGAUCUAUUCGCGACGCACAAUGAAUGCAAACAGGCACAAGCAAACAUAUACUUGCAUAAGAAUAUUACACCAUACAAGAUAAAAUAUUAUAAAAGCGAUAAAUAUAAAAUAGAGAGCGCUUCUACAGUUACGCGAGGAAAAGAAACGCGAAAGUCGGAGCUACGGUCGAGGGGUUAGCGUGUUUACACUAAGCAAAUAUUAAUUAGAAUAUUUAAUCCAACUUUUCUCAAAUAUAAAUAAUAUCUACUACUUAGUUUUGGCUAACUUACUGUUUUAAUUGUGGAUGAUUAAAUAAAUAAUUAGUUAACUCACAUGAGUAAUUAUAACGAAUGGUUUAAUAUCGUACGCGAACAACGCGCGAUAUGCGUGAACGACGCUCGGCAAGGCGAGAAACAGCACGCGAGAAUCUUUAACAAAUAUCGCAUUUAUUCUAAACAAGUGUUAAUUAUAACAUUCGAUUCAACAUUAUCAAAUAUAAAUUACAACUACUAUUUAGUUUCGUUUAAUCCUCUACACCAACAACUGUCAAUUAAAUAAGUAGCUUAAUUAACACAGGAGAUUCUAAGCAAGGCGAGUUAACGACCCACGACAAGACGCGGCGUGUGAAAACAAUGUGCGAACGAUGCACAACCACACACAACUUAGCGCACGGACGACGCGCGAAUAGCAUGCGACAACACGCGAAGCAGACGCGUGGCGCGAACGCGCGAGCGCGCGAACGAACGACAACAACGUAGAAACAGCGCGUGAAUGACACGCAAAAACUACUAAAUAGAUGUUGUGUUUACACUAGACGACUAUUUGAUCAUGUAUUUGAGUUAGCAUUAUUUAUGUUAACAUGUAUUUAUAAUUGCACAAAUUAAAACUACAAAUUAGUUUUAAUUAAAUUGCUAUUUUAAUUACCAUCAGAUAAAUAAAUAAUUAAUAAAUUAACGAAGACAUGUGUUGCGACAAAAUAAUGUUUCUAACAUAUAGACAAUAUUAUUACGAAGCAAACGUAACUGGAACGGAUUAAAACGGAUUUGGGACAUAAAAUAUAUUGAAUAUUUAGUAUCUCACAUAUUACUGUGAUACAACACAUUUCUAUUAGCCGAAAAAAUGAGCCUCAAAUAGGGUCGCACGGUUGUGGCCACAGAAGAUCACGCAAAUUAGAAAUGCCAAUGGCAUGCUAACACGUGGCCACGUGAAUUUGGGGGAAAGCAAUUGGUUUCCUACUCUACCGUGAGCCUGUUAACCGCACGACGGUUCUAUUUCGGCUUUCUUCCACCUUGGGAUAGAACGGAGAAAAUGGAGGAAGGGUAGGAGAGGAUGGCCAUGGCCAUGGCCCUGCUCGACCGAGCCAAGGGAGUCGUGCGAAGGUGUGGCUGCGCGCGUUGAGGAAGCUCCCUGGCGGGCGAGAUCUGCAGGGGCUCACCGGGGAAGAGCAGAGGAGGCCGGACGAGCGAGCGUGGCUGGAAAGCUGAGGGCGGACGUGCAAGGAGCAGCUCUACAGCGCGGCCCCGAGCACAGCGGUUGCUCGGCCAACCUCCAUGCCGGACCGAGCAGGGAAGAGCAUGGCUGGACGAGGGCGCGUGGGGGUCUGCACGCCGAGGCGCUCAGCGGCUCCAGGCCGCGCUGCCGCGCCGGCCAGGAGCCUGGCCACGGACUCGCCUGCGCGGGCGCUGGCCACCGAUGUGGGCUCGGCCGGAGACGGGACUAGGGACGCGUGGGAGAGGCCCAGCCACCGUGCCUGUCGUGGGCAGCACCGGCCAAUGAGCCUGCGAGCUGUGUAAACACGCAAGCAGGGCCUGCACGUGGAGGAUUGUACCUGAGCAAUCGUCGAUCGCGCGUGUCGCUUCAGGAACGGGCACCAGGAGGCUUCGGAGGACGUCACUGUGUGCUUCAGGGACGGCGAUUGCCGACGGCGGUUUUGGUCGAUCUGGUUGCCGGGUAUAGCGGAGGGAGAGAGGAAAGGGAGAUUGGCUGCGAUUGAGAAAGGGGGAGGCUGGUAACUGAAGGGGAUCCCGCUCGCUUGAUUCGGAUAUAGGGAGUUACAUAUCUGCGUAGAGGGCGAGGGAAUUUUGUGAGGGAAUAGGAAAACUGCAAGUGACACUGGGGUGGACGAGGUAAUUGUGUUAAGCGAAUAAGAUGUUUUGCGGAGCUUAGGGAAAUGCUGGAGUAGACAUCGAGGGUAUACAGGGAUGGACAAGGAUAGCCAACACGAGCAGUAUGCCGUUCACGAGAAGCGGUUCGGUGAUUCCGUGAAAAAGAACACGAGAUCCGGAAUAGGCUCGAUGAGAGGAAAUAUAAAAUUAUAUAUAUAUUUAUAAUUGAGUUUCCAAAAUUCUAUAGUUUUUGCAAAUACUAAAUUUUAAGUAUUUAAUUAAUAUUAUAAAAAUUGAAAUUCAUAUUUCAUACUCGAAGAAAUGUUUCGAAGAUUCCGAAAACUCUUGGGAACAUCCUCGAGAUAUUUUAAUCUAUUAUGAUAACAUUUUGUACUCAUAAACACUAUGCAUCGACAUGAAUGCAACAAUCAAAGUUCCUCUAAGAUCCUAUUUUACUAGGCUUAUGCAUAGAUAUAAAAACAAAAUAACUCUUCACUAUUUAGGAAAAAGAAAAGAAAAGCAAGGAAAAGAGAGGGUAACACCUGAAUUUGAUGGAUAUUAGGAAAGAAAUUUUAUACCCCCAAAUUCAGGGUGUUACACUCCUUUACUUUCCGUCCCAUUAGACAAACCACUGGGUUU